UCACGAUCAUUCUUCGCCUGC
rnacentral:siRNA from 1 species